GGGCGUGUUACAUUUGUGUAGCUUACUCUGCAAAGGUAUGUUUUGGUAUUUUACUCUCGCCUU
rnacentral:tRNA from 1 species